UCCAUGAGGUGUUAAAAGAGCAGGAAAGGGAAAGGGAUGGAUUUGAGGAAGGAGAGGAAAGGAUGGAGGGAUGGAGGGAGGGAUGAUGGAGGGAUGGAUGGAUGGAUGGAUGGAUGGAUGGAUGGAUGGAUGGAUGGAUCAAUGGAUCAAUGGAUCAAUGGAUCAAUGGAUGGAUCAAUGGAUGAAAACCAGGAGACAGAGAGGGAUGGGUGGAUCGGAGCCAGCCCCUCCUGAGCAUCUCUAAGGACCCCCUCCAGUUACAAUGGCGGCACUUGUGUGUCUGCCAGGCCACAGACGAGCUCGGAAGGGCGUUCCCGCUCCAUCCCGAUUUUCAAGGAUC
rnacentral:lncRNA from 12 species